UUUGCCUAUUGUAAAGAAGGUGUACAACGUCUCUUAGCUGCACACGGUCGAACGCUUUUUCUAAAUCAAUAAAACACAUAUACGCUGGUUUGUUAUAUUCGAUUGAUUUUUCUGUUAUCUGUCUUAUGACAAAAACCGCGUCUGUGCAUGAUCUGCCCGAUCUGAAACCUUGCUGUUCAUCUGCUAAGCAUGUUAAGUCGUUUAUUUUGGUUGUUAUCACUUUUGUCGUAAGUUUUAGUGUGGUGCUUAGAAGAUUUAUGCCUCUAUAGUUUGAGGGCAGCUUCUUAUCUCCUCUUUUAAACAUCAAGAUAGUGGUGCUGGUUCGCCAUUCAUCGGGUAUCCUGUGUUGGUAAAGAAUUUUUUGAAUCAGGGAUGUUAGCUGCUGUAUGAGAGAUAGUAAAAAAAAACUAAGUAUGUAAAAAAACUAUUCAAGAACACUUUAAUUUUUUUUGGUAGAUGUGUUUUUAUCAAUUAAUUCGCAUCGAUAAAGGCUUAUCAGUAUGCCAGAGAUAAGAUAUGUUUAAUUAAUUUAAUCACUCUUACUUCUGCAAUCUCAGUUUAAUUGUUACUUUGAAUGUUACCUGACGAUUUUUGUAGAAAUAAUUAAUUAUGAGUAAUCUACUCAAAGUUGUUAUUUUCCUAAUUACAUUGGUGACAUGUAUAAGUGUGAUCGCGUCGUUCAACUUGGGAGAUAGACUAAAAUCUUCAUCCAACUCCGAAUCAGAAGAUCAUGAGGAUCCAGCAAUAUUCCGUAUGGUUCAGAGCAUAAUAAAUGUACCUUGUAAAGCUGGAUACGUUUAUAUAAACAACAAAUGCGUCAAAUCUUAUGAUUAAAACGAUUCAGAUUCAGAAGUUCCAACUAAAUACUGACCAAUAAGAAUAUACACCAGGCAUCAAUAAAAAAUGGACCAAUUAUACAUGUAUAAAAAUAUAACAAUAUUAAAUGUCAUAAAAUAAUGUACGUAUUUAAAUAUGGCAGUUUUAGAAUUUUACAGUUUUAGAAAUAUGGCAGUUUAGAACUUUUACAUUCGUUAACAUUUGUAUAAUGUUUUUUUUAGAAAUAUAGGUAUCUUUCUAUGUGUAUUGUAGUAUUAGAUUUGGUAAUAUUAAAUAGAUAAAAACAGU